rnacentral:rRNA from 1 species
AUUGAACGCUGGCGGCCGGCUUCACACAUGCAAGUCUAGCGAGCGGCGGACGGGUGAGUAAUGUCUGGGAAACUGCCUGCUGGAUGGGGAUCCCUACUGGCAACGGUAGCUCAUACCGCAUACCAUCAGAUGUGCCCAGAUGGGAUUAGCUAGUAGGUGGGGUAAUGGCUCACCUGGGCGACGAUCCCUAGCUGGUCUGCUAGGAUGACCAGCAAAAAUGUAACUGAGACAAGGUCCAGACGCCUACGUGAGGCAGCAGGGGGGAAUAUUGCACAAGGGGCGCAAGCCUGAUGCAGCCAUGCAGCGUGUGUGAAGAAGGCCUUCGGGUUGUAAAGCACUUGCAGCGAGGAGGCGUUACUCGAAGAAGAAGCACCGGCUAACUCCGUGCCAGCCGCCGCGGUAAUAC